UACGGAGGGGGGCGAGCGUUGUCCGAAGUUACUGGGCGUAAAGCGCGCGUAGGCGGGAGGCCAAGUCCGCUGUGAAAAGCCCGGGGGCUCAACCCCCGGCGGGUCGGUGGAGACUGGUCUUCUUGAAGAUGCUAGGGGGGAGGUGGAAUUAUCGGUGUAGCGGUGAAAAUGCGUAGAGAUCGAUAGGAACACCAGUGGCGAAGGCGGCCUCCUGGGGGCACUCUUGACGCUGAGGCGCGAAAAGCUGGGGGGGAGCGAACGGG
rnacentral:rRNA from 1 species